rnacentral:rRNA from 1 species
GCUCAACCGAGGAAGUGCUUCGAAAACUGGUAAACUUGAGUGCAGAAGAGGAAAGUGGAACUCCAUGUGUAGCGGUGGAAUGCGUAGAUAUAUGGAAGAACACCAGUGGCGAAGGCGGCUUUCUGGUCUGUAACUGACGUUGAGAUUCGAAAGCAUGGGUAGCAAACAGGAUUAGAUACCCUGGUAGUCCAUGCCGUAACGAUGAGUGCUAAGUGUUGAGGGUUUCCGCCCUUCAGUGCUGCAGCUAACGCAUUAAGCACUCCGCCUGGGGAGUACGACCGCAAGGUUGAAACUCAAAGGAAUUGACGGGGGCCCGCACAAGCGGUGGAGCAUGUGGUUUAAUUCGAAGCAACGCGAAGAACCUUACCAGGUCUUGACAUACCAUGAAAAGCUUAGAGAUAAGUCUUUCCCUUCGGGGACAUGGAUACAGGUGGUGCAUGGUUGUCGUCAGCUCGCGUCGUGAGAUGUUGGGCUAAGUCCCGCAACGAGCGCAACCCUUAUUAUCAGUUGCCAGCAUUCAGUUGGGCACUCUGGUGAGACUGCCGGUGACAAACCGGAGGAAGGUGGGGACGACGUCAAAUCAUCAUGCCCCUUAUGACCUGGGCUACACACGUGCUACAAUGGUCGGUACAACG